AUCAUGGCUCAGGACGAACGCUGGCGGCGCGCCUAACACAUGCAAGUCGAACGAGCGAGAGAGGGCUUGCUUUCUCGAGCGAGUGGUCGAACGGGUGAGUAACGCGUGAGGAACCUGCCUCAAAGAGGGGGACAACAGUUGGAAACGACGUGCUAAUACCGCAUAAGCCCACGGCUCGGCAUCGAGCAGAGGGAAAAGGAGCAAUCCGCUUUGAGAUGGCCUCGCGUCCGAUUAG
rnacentral:rRNA from 1 species